rnacentral:rRNA from 1 species
UACGGGGGGUGCGAGCGUUGUCCGGAAUCACUGGGCGUAAAGGGCGCGUAGGUGGCCUGGUAAGUCUGUGGUGAAAGCCCGGAGCUCAACUCCGGGUCUGCCGCGGAUACUGCGAGGCUUGAGUGCUGUAGAGGGGGGUAGAAUGCCGGGUGUAGCGGUGGAAUGCGUAGAGAUCCGGCAGAAGACCGGUGGCGAAGGCGGCCCCCUGGGCAGUAACUGACGCUGAUGCACGAAAGCUAGGGGAGCAAACAGG